AGGAAGAGAAAAGGGGAAGGAGCGUCUAGGUGAAAUGAGCUGUGUAGUCCUUUAGAGCCUCUGGACAGAAGGUCUGAUGAACACAUGUAAAGCUUAUAGAGCCUCAGAACUCUAACUACAGGGUUUCAAUAGCACAGAAACUCUGAGAAGAAAAAGAAUGUCAAAGUUCCUCCCUAAGGAGACUGAUUAGAUGCAAGUGUGUCCAGAAUUGGUGGGUUCUUGGUCUGACUUCAAGAAUGAAGCCGCAGACCCUCGCGGUGCUGCUGUUCUACUAAGAGGUAUAUGAAUAAUGGAAAUGCCUCCUGUAAUCCUAGCACUUUGGGAGGCCGAGGUGGGCGGAUCACCUGAGGUUGGGAGUUCAAGACCAGCCUGACCAACAUGGAGAAACCCCCUCUCUACUAAAAAUACAAAAUUAGCCGGGCGUGGUGGUCCAUGCCUGUAAUCCCAGCUACUUGGGAGGCUGAGGCAGGAGAAUCGCUUGAACCCAGGAGGCGGAGGUUGAGGUGAGCCGAGAUCAUGCCAUUGCACUGUAGCC
rnacentral:antisense_RNA from 1 species